AUCUAGAAACUAAUCAGUUGUAACAACCAUAUCAUAAAAAGUUCAAGUCAAGAUAAAGUUUAAGUUGUGCACAUAAAUACAUGAUAAAUAAACUUGUGUGUACACGGCAAACCCCUCCAAGACGAGGCUUGCAACUCAGACAGACCCCCUUUAAGAAAUGGCAUGCAAUUCGGAUUUUUUUUUUUUGUAAUGCAAAAUUAGGUGGGAACACCGAUUGAGGGUCCUUAAAAAAAAAAAAAAAAUGUGCUCAAUAUGCGUAUUUUACUAACGAAGAAGCGACGAAAAAAAAAAAACGAAAAAACAACGGAACAGACGAUUUUCGAUUUCGGUUGCAGAGGGCCCUCAGAGCUCGAGGUAUUAUCGAAUCCGUUACCGGUCGCCGCUGCGGUUAUUCGCGAUCGGUAACGUAGUGGGAUGGUGUUGAGUGGUAAGGUGGUAGCAGGGGUGAUUUGAUCGACUCGUCGAGUAGCAGCGCUCCGAACAAGUGCACACGCACACUUUGGGAAACAUUGGACCGGCGAAAACGCACGUGAUAAGCUCUCGAGCACUGCCGCGCGCGUAUUCGGUUCGAGCGAUAGUUCACGCGGUGCACCGUCACCACCCGGUCCGGAGACGACCAGAUCGAGACUUGAAAAACAAUAAUGAAGAUUUAUAAAAACUCAAGAACUAACUAAUGAUUACAUCCUGUAAUGAGUAAUAUUAUUUAUCAUUAUUGUGUAAACUAUUCAUUAUGGUAUAUAAAUAUGUAAACUCGAAUUUGCUUUCCCCACCUCGAAUGAUAAGUAAUCAAAGCUGUUGAAUUACGAACAACGAUGACAUGAUGGACGACAAUGACUCCAUUGUCCGUGAACCGAGACCAUGACAACCGCUUGCUUGACAAUAGCUUCUUAGUAACAACGGAGUCGAGAAAGAGCGUACAAUAAUAAGCUAAGUCGGUAGGAGCAAGAACAGAGGAGGAUCGAAAACAAUUUAUCGCAGGAUAAGUGUUAAGGGAAUUUAUACUUCCUUACUUAUAACUUUGAACUUUACACCCUUGUUGUUGAAAUAAAACGAAA